rnacentral:rRNA from 1 species
CAGUAGCCGCGGGAAUACGUAGGUGGCAAGCGUUGUCCGGAAUUAUUGGGCGUAAAGGGCUCGCAGGCGGUUUCUUAAGUCUGAUGUGAAAGCCCCCGGCUCAACCGGGGAGGGUCAUUGGAGACUGGGAAACUUGAGUGCAGAAGAGGAGAGUGGAAUUCCACGUGUAGCGGUGAAAUGCGUAGAGAUGUGGAGGAACACCAGUGGCGAAGGCGACUCUCUGGUCUGUAACUGACGCUGAGGAGCGAAAGCGUGGGGAGCGAACAGGAUUAGAUACCCCUGUAGUCCCUGUCUCUUAUAC